UCUAGCUGUCAGUGCUGUAUUCCCAGUGUCAUCCUUGUUCUGACUCUUUUUCAUCUGUUCCUUCCUCUACAGUGAACCCGAGCUGAACACUCUCUGAACCAGGACUCACCUGAAGUAUCUGAUCCUAGCUGCUCUGUUGGGCCUUGCACCUGGGUGCGUCACGCCCGCCACUCAGCUGCUGCCUGUCCGCCCUCAAUCACCUGCUGGAACUUCCCCAUCUGGAAAACCACCACAUCACACCAACUGUUGGACCCCCAUGUACUCUCCUCUGCUUACCUCUGCCCACAGACCUUCCUCUGCUGGCCCGGUUCCUCCCUGCUGUCACAGAUCGACGCCUCUCCACACGCUCUCCAGCACAUUCUAUUGCUAAAUAAAUCUGUUGAAACUG